AUCCUGCAAUUACUUGAAGGCUCAUAUGGGCUACUCCGGUGGGGAAGGGAAGCCCUGCUAAUGAGACCCCUAACUCAGCCAGUGUCACUCUGCUUUCAGCUGCUUUAUAUAUAGUGGUUUCACUGCUUUAAAAAUGUUCUCCAAAAUCACUGUACUAGAUGAAUCAAGAAAAGAAAACAUGCACCUACCUUUAAGGAUUUCUAGUUCAGCCAACCCAGACCUGUCACAUCAUGAUAUUUUCUGGUAGGUCUGAGUGGGAUGAUGUGUGAAUUGUCCCCUGAGUUGAAAGCCAAGAAAACAACAUGCUUUUCUAAAGACCUUUCUUUCUGCCUUCUCCCCACUUUUUAUUUCUUGUCAUCCUUUCAUGCACCAGUUAUGCUAUGUAUUUUCUUUUUAUGCUUUUAUGGCUGCUGGGGUUACUUUUGGAGGGAUACCAUAAGACAGUGAAGAAAUUAAUGCAACAGGGGACUUCAAGCAGAAAAAUCCAUCUGACCUGGUGACAGUUGCACAAGUCUCUGGAGUGAGAUCCACAUCCUCUACAACAACAUAAGAAAUCCUUGUGGAAGACACCUCUGAUUAACUCCUAUUUAUUCCUCCACUUGACAGAGCCUGAGCAUCGAUAUCUUCUAUUAAUAUUUGUGG
rnacentral:lncRNA from 1 species